AUUGAACGCUGGCGGCAGGCCUAACACAUGCAAGUCGAGCGGCUGAAGGGAGCUUGCUCCUGGAUUCAGCGGCGGACGGGUGAGUAAUGCCUAGGAAUCUGCCUGGUAGCGGGGGAUAACGUCCGGACACGGGCGCUAAUACCGCAUUCGUCCUGAGGGAGAAAGUGGGGGAUCUUCGGACCUCACGCUAUCAGAUGAGCCUAGGUCGGAUUAGCUAGUUGGUGGGGUAAAGGCCUACCAAGGCGACGAUCCGUAACUGGUCUGAGAGGAUGAUCAGUCACACUGGAACUGAGACACGGUCCAGACUCCUACGGGAGGCAGCAGUGGGGAAUAUUGGACAAUGGGCGAAAGCCUGAUCCAGCCAUGCCGCGUGUGUGAAGAAGGUCUUCGGAUUGUAAAGCACUUUAAGUUGGGAAGAAGAGCAGUAAGUUAAUACCUUGCUGUUUUGACGUUACCAACAGAAUAAGCACCGGCUAACUUCGUG
rnacentral:rRNA from 1 species